rnacentral:sRNA from 1 species
CACAAUUUAAAAUAAAAGUUACUUGAAUACGUAUUUUGUUUAUACUUUUAGUCAUACUAGGUGAUCACCCGCGGUACGCCGCAGUUUUUUCGGACUUUUUUGUAUUGUUUAAUUUAAAUAUAAUUUUUAUUUAUCUAAUCAUUCACUCAUGCAAUAAAUAAUUACUUUUAGUAUUAAAAAUAUUUUUGUCUAACAACAUUUUCAACAAUGCAUCAUACACAUAAUUCAUAAACAACGUUUGUCUUAAACCAAUUUAAUAGAGGGUAGUGUUGGAUUCUAGAAACCUAAGAAUUUUAUGAUGGAGCUCCUUACGUAUUCUCACCCUCAGUGAUUUAUUAUAUAAAUAUCAAUUUAAGAAAAU